GACGAACGCUGGCGGCGUGCUUAACACAUGCAAGUCGAACGGAAAGGCCCUGCUUUUGUGGGGUGCUCGAGUGGCGAACGGGUGAGUAACACGUGAGUAACCUGCCCUUGACUUUGGGAUAACUUCAGGAAACUGGGGCUAAUACCGGAUAGGAGCUCCUGCUGCAUGGGGGGGGUUGGAAAGUUUCGGCGGUUGGGGAUGGACUCGCGGCUUAUCAGCUUGUUGGUGGGGGAGUGGCUUACCAAGGCUUUGACGGGUAGCCGGCCUGGGAGGGUGGCCGGCGACAUGGGGACUGAGAUACGGCCCAGACUCCUACGGGAGGCAGCAGUGGGGAAUAUUGCACAAUGGGCGGAAGCCUGAUGCAGCAACGCCGCGUGCGGGAUGACGGCCUUCGGGUUGGAAACCGCUUUCGCCUGUGACGAAGCGUGAGUGACGGUAAUGGGUAAAGAAGCACCGGCUAACUACGUG
rnacentral:rRNA from 1 species